UUUUAAUAGAUUUAAUUAUUAAUAAAAUCUGCUCAAUGAAUAUUAAAUAGCCGCAAUUUUAUUGUGCUAAGGUAGCAUAAUCACUUGCCUUUUAAUUAAAGACUAGAACGAAAGAUUAUACAUUUAAAUUUCUGUUUCAAUUACCUCUCCUUAAAUUAUUUUAAAUAUAAAAAAAUAUUUAUUCUAAAAAUAGACGAUAAGACCCUAUUGAACUUAACUUUAGUUUUACUGGGGAAGUAAAUUAAUUAAAAUUUUAAUUAAAAUCAAUUUCUAAAAGACCCUAUACAAUAGAUUUAAUGAUCCAGUUACCAUAGGGAUAACAGCGUAAAAAUUUUCUAAAGAUCUUAUUUAAAAAAUUUCUUGCGACCUCGAUGUUGAAUAAUUACCUUUUAAAUGCAACUAUUUAAUCUUUUUAAGGGAGUCUGUUCGACUUUUAAAAUAUUACA
rnacentral:rRNA from 1 species